rnacentral:lncRNA from 1 species
GGGAAGGUGGCAGCGGGGAAAACGCGCCGGCGGCGGAGCCUCUCCUCGACGUGGGAGGAGAAGCGGUGCUCGCUCGGCAGGAGGCGGCGGCUGGAGCGUCCGGCGGAGUGGAUACACCGGAGGCAGAUCCGGCCUCUCGGUGGUGGAUCUGCUCCCCUCCCCUCCCCCGGCCAGAUCAGGAGAGCUCACGGCAGCGCGACACGGCGGCAGCGGGCAACCGGCGGGAGCGAUGGCGGCUGGCCGGCCGACAGUGGCAGCGCAACCGCGGAGGCGCAGCCGGUGACGGCGGAGGCCGGUGAGGCACGGCCGGCAGUGGAGGAGGUGGCCGCGGUGCGUGGAGGCAUAGCCGAGGUGCCGGUGCGGCACGACGAGGCUGGCCAGCGUGGAGGCGGCGGCCGGCGCAGCAGGAGCGUCAUUCCCCUCCUGAGGGCGUUGUCGUGCCGUCUCACCCCUCAAGGGUGGCUGUCGGGCGAAAGCUCAGUAUCGGCUCUCUUUGAGACCUUGACGAACGGCGGCAGCGGUGUUUUGUCGCUUCUCUCCUUGAAGAUGUCGUCUAGGCAUCCCCUUGCCGACCCCCCCCCCCUGAGCAAUUGA